UACGAAGGGGGCGAGCGUUGUUCGGAUUUACUGGGCGUAAAGGGCGCGCAGGCGGCUAUCCAAGUCAGGCGUGAAAGCCCCGGGCUUAACCUGGGAGGUGCGUCUGGGACUGGGUGGCUAGAGAUCGGGAGAGGAGAGUGGAAUUCCCAGUGUAGAGGUGAAAUUCGUAGAUAUUGGGAAGAACACCCGUGGCUAAGGCGGCUCUCUAGUACGUGACUGACGCUGAGACGCGAAAGCGUGGGGAGCGAACAGG
rnacentral:rRNA from 1 species